rnacentral:rRNA from 1 species
AACGCGAAGAACCUUACCCAGACUUGACAUGCAAGUGGUAGCGAGCCGAAAGGUAAGCGACCCGCAAGGGAGCUUGCACAGGUGUUGCACGGCCGUCGUCAGCUCGUGUCGUGAGAUGUUGGGUUAAGUCCCGCAACGAGCGCAACCCUCGGGAUCUGUUGUACCCCUCAGAUCCGACUGCCGAGAGAAACUCGGAGGAAGGUGGGGAUGAUGUCAGGUCAGCGUGGCCUUUAUGUCUGGGGCAACACGCACGCUACAAUCGCCGGUCACAGCGGGUCGCGACAGCGCGAGCUGAAGCUAAUCCCUUAAAACCGGCGUCAGUUCAGAUCGGAGGCUGCAACUCGCCUCCGUGAAGUCGGAGUUGCUAGUAACCGCGGGUCAGCACACCGCGGUGAAUAUGUUCCCGGGCCUUGUACACACCGAUACUC